rnacentral:rRNA from 1 species
UACGUAGGGCGCAAGCGUUGUCCGGAAUUAUUGGGCGUAAAGAGCUCGUAGGCGGCCAGUUGCGUCUGCUGUGAAAUCCCGGGGCUCAACCCCGGGCUUGCAGUGGAUACGGGCUGGCUGGAGGCAGGCAGGGGAGAACGGAAUUCCCGGUGUAGCGGUGAAAUGCGUAGAGAUCCGGAGGAACACCAGCGGCGAAGGCGGCAUCCUGGACUGGUCCUGACACUCAUGAGCGAAAGCGUGGGGAGCGAUCCGG